rnacentral:snRNA from 1 species
GUGCUCGCUUUGGCAGCACAUAUACUAAAAUUGGAACGAUAAGAUUAGCAUGGCCCCUGCACAAGGAUGACAUGCAAACUCGUGAAGCAUUCCAUAUUUAA